rnacentral:lncRNA from 1 species
UUCUUCCCCGGAGGAAACACAGAAGGAAACUAAAGAUUCCUGUGUCUAAGGGACUGCCUCCUGGUCCCCUCCUGUCUCCUGCUGGGAAGACUGUUCAGUUCUGAGGAGCACUUAGAGUUCCUAAGUGUAUUUUUCAUUUCCGUUAAGGCAUCAAAAGCCUUUAAAGUCCAAUUUUGUAGGGAAACAAUUUAAGCUUUUACCUGACAUCCCAACCUUAGCAUAAAAGUUCUCAUUAUGUGGGUUCUAUGGGAGAUGUUCAUCAAUGGGAGCCAGUGACGGAAUUUGGUCCUUUCUCCGCGAGGGUGUGUCAGCGUGAGGCACUUCAGGAGGUCGGAUGUCUGUGCACCAUCUGUAGCUUUACACAUCUAUACGUCUACACACGCUUCCAGGCUGACCUUGGAAUCCCAACCUCCUGCCUCAACCUUCUGAGUACUGAUCCACCACAUCUGGAUAGACUAGACAUCUGCUGCAACAGAAUAGUUAAAAAAAAUGGUAUACAACAGAGCAACAAAGACAUUUCUGGCCAUGGGUCAUGUUCUCCGGGAUCACUAAGGCUGUCACUCUCACGUACCCUGGGGGCUGAACUAGAUUGAAAAAGGAAGAGAGAAAAAUCGAUAUUAAAGAUAGCAUCAUUUUCUGUGGAUAUCAGUUUGGUUGCUGUUGAACUAAACACACAAAAGUGGGAGAGAGUGGGCUGGCUGUCAGUUUUCCUGCGGUCUGGCUCCAAGGGCACAGCCUUGAAGGACAGCUGCAUUGCAUCCCUCCCCUUCCACUGCAGAAGCAGUGGUGCAGGCUGUGCCAAGCUGCAGCCUAUGUGUCCUCUGUGACCGUCAGCCAGUCUUUAUCUAUGGCCCCCUCCCAGCAGUGGUAUUUUUGUGGUAGGUGUCUUAGGUACUUUUCUGUCCUAUGACAAAACACCAUGUCCAAGACAAUUAAUAAAAGAAACCAUCUAGUUUGGGGUACACAGUUCCUAACCUUCACCAAGCAAAUCAAUGUCUUUGAGCGUUAUCGUGGUCCUCUAUACGAGGCUAUCGGGAUGAAAGCACCAUGAUGGAAAAAUUCGGGAGAGAGUUCCUGACAGGAAGAGUACCUACAGAUUCACUCAUCUCUUCUUUGGAAUGAAUUCUGACAGAACUGAAACAUUUCAUUUUGAGUCAGUUCAUGGAAAGUUAAUUUUUAUGGGUUUCUCUGAAAAUUAAGAACAACAAAAGGCAAAUUUGUUAGUUGGGUCAGUCCGAUCUAGACAACUCCUCAACUGAGCAGACUAACCAGGAUGAAGAGUACGAUGACAAGUCUGUGG